rnacentral:rRNA from 1 species
CCUACGGGUGGCAGCAGUGAGGAAUAUUGGUCAAUGGGCGCGAGCCUGAACCAGCCAAGUCGCGUGAGGGAAGACGGUCCUAUGGAUUGUAAACCUCUUUUGUCGGGGAGCAACACACGCCACGCGUGGCGUUCCGAGAGACCCGUAGAAAAAGCAUCGGCUAACUCCGCGACAGCAGCCGCGGUAAUACGGAGGGCCCGAGCGGUAUCCGGAUUCAUUGGGCGUAAAGGGAGCGUAGGCGGGCGGUCAAGUCAGCUGUAAAAUCGCGCGGCUCAACCGCGCCCCGCAGUUGAAACUGGAGGACUUGAGUGCACAACAGGCAGGCGGAAUGCGUGGUGUAGCGGUGAAAUGCAUAGAUAUCACGAAGAACCCCGAUUGCGAAGGCAGCCUGCCGGGGUGCGACUGACGCUGAGGCUCGAAGGUGCGGGUAUCAAACAGGAUUAGAUACCCGAGUAGUC